GUACCAUUUUCCUAAGCAAAGCAAAUUGAAACUGAAUAUUUGUUCGGAAAAAUCAAUCAGAAUUGGAGAAAUAACAUUCUUUUAAUUUGUUGAACUGCAUUUUCAUCACUUAAUUAGUAUUAACAUUAUAUACAAACAAUUCAAAGUUGUCAGGUUAAAAACUAGGUAUAUGGCUCCGAAAGACAGCGGAAUAGUUUCAAAUUUUUAAAUAUUUCUUGAUUUGGCACUUGAAAGAAAUGUUCUUAUAUAUGUUCAAUUGAGUAUGGAACCAAUGAUCUAGUCGUAAUGUUUCGAUGUUUAAAAAUAUCAUUUCUGAAUUUAAUGAAAUAUGCUGUCAAUGCAUUGUCAAAAUGUUAAGGCACUUUGAGGAAUUUAAUUUGCUUCAAGCAAUGUGGAAUUUUGUUGUCAACGACAAUGUCUUGACAACUGAUCUCGCAUUACAACGAAUGGACUCACUUAGCAUCUAAACAUUGCGAUAAAAUCAUUAUUUUCCAUACUCAAGCGAAAAUUUUGGUCACUUCACCAAAAAGAGUUUGUCCGUAUUCAAAAAAGUAAAAGCAUGUUCGAUUUAUACUUUUGUCUUUGAGCCAUAUAUUUUCUUUGUAAAACAACCUGGUGUUACGCUUUCGAUUUCUCAGUCAAACUCCUGUAAAGUUUAUCGUUACCGAGUACGACGUUAGAGUUGUUUUACAAUAUUUAUUUUGAAGUAUAAACAUUUAUCUUGAAAAGACCAGGUUCUCUUAUUUCUCAAGAAUUAACUUUUUAAUGUUAAUUCGCGGGAAAACAAGUUAUUAAUGUUGUGUUUUCACUUGUGCUUAUUCACUUGUGUUAAACACAAUGUUAAUUGUUCUCUUUGUGCCAUGUUCUGUUUUCUUCUAUUGUUAUUAUUUAAAUAAGUAUGCAGUGGUUGUUCUCUUUUUAUUGGUAUUCAAUUUGUAAUUACAAUUCUUUUCAAUAAAUUGUUCAUUAAUUAUACAAGUGACUCCUUUUUAAUUAAAAAUUCAAUUCCCAUGGGAAUUGAAAAAAAAAAUAAAAAAAAUUCCCCUACCCCGGCCGGCUCCCCAAGUGCUACCUCUACUUCAAGUAGAAGUACUUCUACUAUGCAGUAAAAGUACUUCUACUUAAAGUAGAGGUAGCACUCAGAGAGCCAGCCGGGGUAGCGGGGCGAAGAGAAGACCAACCUAGCAAAUGCUAAAUAUGCAAAUGCUAAGUCGAUUAUCUCUUGAGAGCAGCCACGCGCAUACCUAGCAAAUGUAAAACAACAAGCAUUAGUAACAAAUACUCGGCAUGCAAAUUUUGAAUCCCAUGGCCGAAAUGACAAGUGCCCCCCACUGAUUCCUACCAACUGCCUGCCUCAGUCCUAAGCUGUCUGCCUCGGUCCUAAGCUGUCUGCCUUGGUCCUAAGCUACCUGCAUUCCAUUCGUAACUUCCGCUUUCCUCACCAUCACACAGACACUCACAACUGCCCAACCUGCCAUCAGCCCGAAAUGCCCACCCUUAAAACUGAAGGAAUUAAAAUUUUGGUAAAGUAUACAUAAUUAAUUUCAAUUAAUCGAAUAUUUUAGGCCAAAUGUAAACAGAUAAAUUAAAGGUUGACGAUCAGAAGAAAGACCGCUUAUACAAACAGGUGAGUUUCUUACCUGCCUCUAUACUCGAAAUCCAGAUUUUUCCUUCUAGAUGCUUUACUAGCAGACUAUAAUUUUAGUUAAAUUUUGCCGAUGUUAGGAAAUUAGUCCUUUUGUUCAGAAAAGAUAUUUUCUCUUUAAAUGAAUAAAUAUGCUCUCAAAAUUUUAAUUCCUUUAGUUUAGCCUAACCCCAUGCAUCCUAUACACACGGCGCACACUCUCGCACUCCAUACAUUUAGCUAAUAAAUUACGUUAUAAACAAAAAAGCAAAAUAAAAAGAUAAAUUACGUUAUCACUAGCUGUCCUAUAACCCACUUAGACUGAGUUUUGGAUUCUGGUUCGAAACGUAAAAUCUUAACUGAAAGGGCAUGGGCUUGAGUUUUGUUAACUGGUCCGAAGUAAAUACAAACCUUAAACUUACCUAAACCAGAGCCAAAGCCAAAGGCUCG